GAUCGCCUACGGGAGGCAGCAGUGGGGAAUAUUGCACAAUGGGCGCAAGCCUGAUGCAGCGACGCCGCGUGCGGGAUGGAGGCCUUCGGGUUGUAAACCGCUUUUGUUCAAGGGCAAGGCACGGUCUUUGGCCGUGUUGAGUGGAUUGUUCGAAUAAGCACCGGCUAACUACGUGCCUGCAGCCGCGGUAAUACGUAGGGUGCAAGCGUUAUCCGGAUUUCUUGGGCGUAAAGGGCUCGUAGGCGGUUCGUCGCGUCCGGUGUGAAAGCCCAUCGCUUAACGGUGGAUCCGCGCCGG
rnacentral:rRNA from 1 species